GCGAGUGAAGCGGCAAAAGCUCAAAUUUGAAAUCUGGCGUCUUCGACGUCCGAGUUGUAAUUUGAAGAAGGCGACUUUGUAGCUGGUCCUUGUCUAUGUUCCUUGGAACAGGACGUCAUAGAGGGUGAGAAUCCCGUGUGGCGAGGAUCCCAGUUAUUUGUAAAGUGCUUUCGACGAGUCGAGUUGUUUGGGAAUGCAGCUCUAAGUGGGUGGUAAAUUCCAUCUAAAGCUAAAUAUUGGCGAGAGACCGAUAGCGAACAAGUACAGUGAUGGAAAGAUGAAAAGAACUUUGAAAAGAGAGUGAAAAAGUACGUGAAAUUGUUGAAAGGGAAGGGCAUUUGAUCAGACAUGGCGUUUGCUUCGGCUUUCGCUGGGCCAGCAUCAGUUUUAGCGGUUGGAUAAAUCCUCGGGAAUGUGGCUCUGCUUCGGUAGAGUGUUAUAGCCCGUGGGAAUACAGCCAGCUGGGACUGAGGAUUGCGACUUUUGUCAAGGAUGCUGGCGUAAUGGUUAAAUGCCGCCCGUCUUGAA
rnacentral:rRNA from 1 species